CACGUAGGGCGCAAGCGUUGUCCGGAAUUAUUGGGCGUAAAGAGCUCGUAGGCGGUCUGUUGCGUCUGCUGUGAAAACCCGGGGCUUAACCCCUGGCUUGCAGUGGAUACGGACAGACUAGAGGUAGGUAGGGGAGAACGGAAUUCCUGGUGUAGCGGUGAAAUGCGCAGAUAUCAGGAGGAACACCGGUGGCGAAGGCGGGUCUCUGGGCCGAUACUGACGCUGAGGAGCGAAAGCGUGGGGAGCGAACAGG
rnacentral:rRNA from 1 species